CUACGGGGCGCACCAGUGAGGAAUAUUGCACAAUGGGGGGAACCCUGAUGAAGCAACGCCGCGUGGAGGAUGACGCAUUUCGGUGUGUAAACUCCUUUUAUAUGUCAAGAAAAUGACGGUAGCAUAUGAAUAAGCACCGGCUAACUCCGUGCCAGCAGCCGCGGUAAUACGGAGGGUGCAAGCGUUACUCGGAAUCACUGGGCGUAAAGGACGCGUAGGCGGGUUGGAAAGUCAGGUGUGAAAUCCUACAGCUUAACUGUAGAACUGCACUUGAAACUUCUAAUCUAGAGUAUGGGAGGGGGAGAUGGAAUUAGUGGUGUAGGGGUAAAAUCCGUAGAUAUCACUAGGAAUACCUAAAGCGAAGGCGAUCUCCUGGAACAUUACUGACGCUAAGGCGUGAAAGCGUGGGGAGCAAACAGGAUUAGAUCCCCCGUAGUC
rnacentral:rRNA from 1 species